GACGAACGCUGGCGGCGUGCCUAAUACAUGCAAGUAGAACGCUGAAGAGAGGAGCUUGCUCUUCUUGGAUGAGUUGCGAACGGGCGAGUAACGCGUAGGUAACCUGCCUUGUAGCGGGGGAUAACUAUUGGAAACGAUAGCUAAUACCGCAUAACAAUGGAUGACACAUGUCAUUUAUUUGAAAGGGGCAAUUGCUCCACUACAAGAUGGACCUGCGUUGUAUUAGCUAGUAGGUGAGGUAACGGCUCACCUAGGCGACGAUACAUAGCCGACCUGAGAGGGUGAUCGGCCACACUGGGACUGAGACACGGCCCAGACUCCUACGGGAGGCAGCAGUAGGGAAUCUUCGGCAAUGGGGGCAACCCUGACCGAGCAACGCCGCGUGAGUGAAGAAGGUUUUCGGAUCGUAAAGCUCUGUUGUAAGUCAAGAACGAGUGUGAGAGUGGAAAGUUCACACUGUGACGGUAGCUUACCAGAAAGGGACGGCUAACUACGUGCCAGCAGCCGCGGUAAUACGUAGGUCCCGAGCGUUGUCCGGAUUUAUUGGGCGUAAAGCGAGCGCAGGCGGUUUGAUAAGUCUGAAGUUAAAGGCUGUGGCUCAACCAUAGUUCGCUUUGGAAACUGUCAAACUUGAGUGCAGAAGGGGAGAGUGGAAUUCCAUGUGUAGCGGUGAAAUGCGUAGAUAUAUGGAGGAACACCGGUGGCGAAAGCGGCUCUCUGGUCUGUAACUGACGCUGAGGCUCGAAAGCGUGGGGAGCGAACAGGAUUAGAUACCCUGGUAGUCCACGCCGUAAACGAUGAGUGCUAGGUGUUGGAUCCUUUCCGGGAUUCAGUGCCGCAGCUAACGCAUUAAGCACUCCGCCUGGGGAGUACGACCGCAAGGUUGAAACUCAAAGGAAUUGACGGGGGCCCGCACAAGCGGUGGAGCAUGUGGUUUAAUUCGAAGCAACGCGAAGAACCUUACCAGGUCUUGACAUCCCGAUGCUAUUUCUAGAGAUAGAAAGUUACUUCGGUACAUCGGUGACAGGUGGUGCAUGGUUGUCGUCAGCUCGUGUCGUGAGAUGUUGGGUUAAGUCCCGCAACGAGCGCAACCCCUAUUGUUAGUUGCCAUCAUUCAGUUGGGCACUCUAGCGAGACUGCCGGUAAUAAACCGGAGGAAGGUGGGGAUGACGUCAAAUCAUCAUGCCCCUUAUGACCUGGGCUACACACGUGCUACAAUGGUUGGUACAACGAGUUGCGAGUCGGUGACGGCAAGCUAAUCUCUUAAAGCCAAUCUCAGUUCGGAUUGUAGGCUGCAACUCGCCUACAUGAAGUCGGAAUCGCUAGUAAUCGCGGAUCAGCACGCCGCGGUGAAUACGUUCCCGGGCCU
rnacentral:rRNA from 1 species